CAAGGUUAAGGGAGUGACACCCGAAGCCGUAGCGUAAGCGAGUCUUAAUAGGGCAUAUAGUCGCUGGAAUUAGACUACGAAACCUGGUGAGCUACCCUAUGGUCAGGGUGAAGCGAGUCUAAACGCUCGUGGAGGCCCGAACCUUUCAACGUUGCAAUGUUGUGGGAUGAACUGUGGGUAGAGGUGAUAUGCCAAUCGAACCAGGAGAUAGCUUGUUCUCCCCGAAAUAGCUUUAGGGCUAGCGUCAUGCGUUUAGUACCGGAGGUAGAGCACUGAAUGGGCUAGAGGGCUUACCGCUUAUCGAACCUAAUCAAACUCCGAAUGCCGGUAUUCCAGAGCAUGGCAGUCGGACGGCGGGAGAUGAGUUUCGUCGUCGAGAGGGAAAGAGCCCAGACCAUCGGCUAAGGUCCUCAAAUCUAUGCUAAGUGGGAAACGAGGUGAGGUUACUGAAACAACCAGGAGGUUGGCUUAGAAGCAGCCAUCCUUUAAAAAGUGCGUAAUAGCUUACUGGUCAAGUGACCUUGCGCGGAAAAUGUAACGGGGCUAAGCAUAGUACCGAAGCCAUGGGUUUCAGGGAUAGCUGGAGCAGUAGGGGAGCGUUCUGUUCAGCGGUGAAGGUCGACCGUGAGGGCGGCUGGAGCGGACAGAAGUGAGAAUGCAGGCAUGAGUAGCGUAUAAACAUGUGAGAACCAUGUUCGCCGUAAAUCUAAGGUUUCCGACGCCAGGUCAUUCCGCGUCGGGUUAGUCGGCCCUUAGUCGAGGCCGAAAGGCGUAGAUGAUGGAUAUCCGGUCAACAUUCCGGAACCACUUAUGAUGAGUGAUGAGGGGACACAGCGAGGUAGACUAGCCAGCGAUUGGUUGUGCUGGUGCUAAGCGUCUAGGUGUUGAGGCCUGUAGGGAAAUCCGCAGGCUGAGCUGAAGCGCGAUGGCGAGCCCCUGAGGCGGAAGUAGUUGAGCCUUGCUGUCAAGAAAAGCCUCUAAACCGUUGAAUCAUAAGUGUCCGUACCGCAAACCGACACUGGUAGAUGGGUAGAGUAUACCAAGGCGAACGGGAGAACCCUCGUUAAGGAAUUCGGCAAAUUAGCUCCGUAACUUUGGGAGAAGGAGUGCCUCCCUUUGUGAGGUGUAAACCGAGCAUUGGGAGGUCGCAGUGAAAUGGUUCUGAUGACUGGUUAACAAAACCACAGGUCUCUGCUAAGCCGAAAGGCGAUGUAUAGGGGCUGACGCCUGCCCAGUGCCGGAAGGUUAAAGGGAGAGGUUAGCGAAAGCGAAGCUUCGAACUGAAGCCCCGGUGAACGGCGGCCGUAACUAUAACGGUCCUAAGGUAGCGAAAUUCCUUGUCGGGUAAGUUCCGACCCGCACGAAUGCGUACAAUCAGAACACUGUCUCAACGAGGGACCCGGUGAAAUUGAAAUGGCUGUGAAGAUGCGGCCGACGAUUCU
rnacentral:rRNA from 1 species